rnacentral:rRNA from 1 species
CGUAGGUGGCAAGCGUUGUCCGGAAUUAUUGGGCGUAAAGGGCGUGUAGGUGGAUUCUUAAGUCGUGUGUCUAAGUGCGGUGCUCAACGCCGUAUAGGCGCAGGAAACUGGGAAUCUUGAGUGCAGGAGAGGAAAGUGGAAUUCCCAGUGUAGCGGUGAAAUGCGUAGAUAUUGGGAGGAACACCAGUGGCGAAGGCGACUUUCUGGACUGUGUCUGACACUGAGGCGCGAAAGCUAGGGGAGCGAACGGGAUUAGAUACCCCGGUAGUCCUAGCCGUAAACGAUGGGUACUAGGUGUAGAGGGUAUCGACCCCUUCUGUGCCGGAGUUAACGCAAUAAGUACCCCGCCUGGGGAGUACGGCCGCAAGGUUG